UACAGAUUUCUCCCAGGGGAUACAGAGAACAUAUGAUUCAUCAACUGACAGGUAAAAAAAGAAGACACCACAGCGGAGACGCCAUCUUGACUGAAGGGAAAGACUAUUGCAGGCACUACUAAUCUACUCCUGUACUACAGGAUUCAGGACACCUUGGUGGUAUUUCCAGCUCUUCCUUCUGACUCCUACUCUGCUUCACUUGCAUCAGACCAUAGGAUGCCUUUCCUAGCAAGUGUUUUUGAGCAAGCAAAGGAUACUCAGGAUAAAGUUUGGCAUGUUUUACUGUUUUCCUUCUGAACAAUCUGCUUAUCAUUGGGAUGACAAAACUGUGCGGACAAAUGACUAAGAACCAGAAGCUUGUGUUUCCACAGAGCAAAACUGAAAACAAAAACUACCUCUACUUUGGCUUAGAUAUGAAGAGGAUUACGGCACUUUUUAAAUAUAUAACUCAUAAGAUCUUGGGCUUUUUCUCACUUGACUGAGGUAUGGAAACCGAGGCUGAAGAUAAAAUGUGAAUCCUUAUGUAAGUGUUGCAGGGUUCAAGUACCAGAAAGUACACUUAAGCCUGUCAUCAUCUCCAUCACCAACCUGCAGCGAUGUCUCUGCCCACUGGACUAACUUACAGACACCUGCUACUUCUCACACUCAGCUUCAGCCUUUUGACCUCACUUCUCACGCUAGUUACUGCAGUCCACUUUUAAGGUCUACAUCAUAGUCAAAUUUCCCUCUUAAAAUUGAUUCAUCUGUCUUGGAUUUCUCUACUAUGAAACUGACACUAAUCUUCCCCUUGGAUCUCCCACUCCACCUCAGUCCUUCUCAAGGAAGUUACAAGUGGCUGUUGCUUUGCCAAAUCCAAAGAUGAUUCAAAUCAUCGUGCUCAAGGUAACAUUUGACUCAGCUCACCUGUCCCCUGUUGCAGUAACAUCUUCCGGUGACUGCUAGAAGACCCACAGCAAUGGUGGCUUUUCAUUAGCCCAGCAGCUGGCUUUUUUAGCUCCUGAGGUCACUUAAUAUCAGUUCCUUAAACAUUUCCAAGUUCCAAAAUUCUCCCCUCAAUCUAGUGUGCAGCACCUUCCACUGGAAACCCCAUUCAACCAUGGCAUUAAAUACUUUGAUGGGGCUUGUAAUUCCAAAUGUGAAAUCCCUCCCCUGAACUGCAGGCCUUUAUAUCCUUUGUUGUCUCUUCUCAUUUGUAGAAUCUUUGCUUAGAUGACUAAGCGUCUGACUUAAUUCACCAAAAUUCUACCUCCUAUUGUAAACCGGAAACUUGAGCCACUUGUUCAUCCCCUCUGAGGAGAUGGCAGGUUCAGUCACACUGUUGUGAACACUCAGUUAUCCUUGAAUUCUCUUAUCUCACUCCUCACAUCCACUCCAUCACCAAGUUCUUUUGGGUCUACCUUGGAGGACUGUCAAGAGUCUGGCCACUCUCUUCACUGCCACCAUGCUGUGUCUAGGUAUUAUCAUAACACUCUUGGUUUAUCA
rnacentral:lncRNA from 1 species